rnacentral:rRNA from 1 species
CUGGCGGCGCGCUUACACAUGCAAGUCGCACGAGAAAGUGGAGCAAUCCAUGAGUACAGUGGCGUACGGGUGAGUAACACGUGGAUCAUCUACCUCUUAGUGGGGAAUAACCCUGGGAAACCGGGGCUAAUACCGCAUAAGCUCGAGAGAGGAAAGCAGCAAUGCGCUGAGAGAGGAGUCCGCGGCCGAUUAGCUAGUUGGCAGGGUAAACGCCUACCAAGGCAAAGACCGGUAGCCGGCCUGAGAGGGCACACGGCCACACUGGCACUGAAACACGGGCCAGACUCCUACGGGAGGCAGCAGUGGGGAAUCUUGCACAAUGGGGGAAACCCUGAUGCAGCGACGCCGCGUGAGCGAUGAAGCCCUUCGGGGUGUAAAGCUCUUUCGGCAGGGACGAUCAUGACGGUACCUGCAGAAGCAGCUGCGGCUAACUACGUGCCAGCAGCCGCGGUAAUACGUAGGCAGCGAGCGUUGUUCGGAGUUACUGGGCGUAAAGGGUGUGUAGGCGGUUGCUUAAGUUUGGUGUGAAAUCUCCCGGCUCAACUGGGAGGGUGCGCCGAAUACUGAGUGACUC